rnacentral:rRNA from 1 species
GGAAUAUUGGACAAUGGGCGAAAGCCUGAUCCAGCCAUGCCGCGUGUGUGAAGAAGGUCUUCGGAUUGUAAAGCACUUUAAGUUGGGAGGAAGGGCAUUAACCUAAUACGUUAGUGUUUUGACGUUACCGACAGAAUAAGCACCGGCUAACUCUGUGCCAGCAGCCGCGGUAAUACAGAGGGUGCAAGCGUUAAUCGGAAUUACUGGGCGUAAAGCGCGCGUAGGUGGUUUGUUAAGUUGAAUGUGAAAUCCCCGGGCUCAACCUGGGAACUGCAUCCAAAACUGGCAAGCUAGAGUAUGGUAGAGGGUAGUGGAAUUUCCUGUGUAGCGGUGAAAUGCGUAGAUAUAGGAAGGAACACCAGUGGCGAAGGCGACUACCUGGACUGAUACUGACACUGAGGUGCGAAAGCGUGGGGAGCAAACAGGAUUAGAUACCCUUG